rnacentral:RNase_P_RNA from 1 species
GCAGGCAGAAUGUGGCUGGGCUUGACAUUUAUAAUGUCAAGUCAGGAAAGUCCGGGCUCCAGAGGAUAACGUAAUGGGUAAUACCCAUCUCUCGACGUAAGUCGGGACGGAUUUCCGCCACAAUGCGUGGCGGACCCGCAAAUAUUUUUGGCGGGAGAGCCACAGAGACGAGACCCGCUUUUUGCGGGGGGUGAAACGCGGCAAUCUCUACGCGGAGCAAGGUGCAAAAGGGGAUGAGUUCCGCAAAACGGAACGCGCGCUUAUCCGGCGCGCUGUUAAUCCUGGGUAAGCUGCUAAAGUCCUGGGAGUGAUUCCGGGAUUGAGAGGAAUAGCCACUAAUCGAUGCGUAAAAUUCGCGUCAAGACAGAACCCGGCUUAUUCUGCCUGCUUAU